AUUGAACGCUGGCGGCAGGCUUAACACAUGCAAGUCGAACGAGUGGCGGACGGGUGAGUAAUGCUUGGGAAUCUAGCUUAUGGAGGGGGAUAACUAAGGGAAACUGUAGCUAAAACCGCGUACCAUAGGAUGAGCCCAAGUGGGAUUAGGUAGUUGGGGAGGUAAAGGCUCACCAAGCCGACGAUCUCCAGCUGGUCGGAGAGGAUGACCAGCCACGCUGGGACUGAUACACGGCCCCGACUCCUACGGUGGGCGGCAGUGGGGAAUAUUGCGCAAUGGGGGCAACCCUGACGCGGCCAUGCCGCGUGUAUGAAGAAGGCCUUAGGGUUGUAAAGUACUUUCAGCGGGGAGACGUUACCCGCAGAAGAAGCACCGGCUAACUCCGUGCCAGCAGCCGCGGUAAUUC
rnacentral:rRNA from 1 species